UGGGGAAUAUUGGACAAUGGGGGCAACCCUGAUCCAGCAAUGCCGCGUGUGUGAAGAAGGUCUUCGGAUUGUAAAGCACUUUCGACGGGGACGAUGAUGACGGUACCCGUAGAAGAAGCCCCGGCUAACUUCGUGCCAGCAGCCGCGGUAAUACGAAGGGGGCUAGCGUUGCUCGGAAUGACUGGGCGUAAAGGGCGUGUAGGCGGUUUACACAGUCAGAUGUGAAAUCCCCGGGCUUAACCUGGGAGCUGCAUUUGAUACGUGUAGACUAGAGUGUGAGAGAGGGUUGUGGAAUUCCCAGUGUAGAGGUGAAAUUCGUAGAUAUUGGGAAGAACACCGGUGGCGAAGGCGGCAACCUGGCUCAUGACUGACGCUGAGGCGCGAAAGCGUGGGGAGCAAACAGGAUUAGAUACCCUGGUAGUCCACGCUGUAAACGAUGUGUGCUAGAUGUUGGGUAACUUUGUUAUUCAGUGUCGCAGUUAACGCGGUUUAAAGCACACCGCCUGGGGA
rnacentral:rRNA from 1 species